rnacentral:lncRNA from 1 species
CGCGGAGCCACAGCCCGACGCACGGACGGAGGGACGCCGGAGCCCGCCUGACCAUGUGGAAGCUGGGCCGGGGCCGAGUGCUGCUGGACGAGCCCCCCGAGGAGGAGGACGGCCUGCGUGGGGGGCCGCCACCGGCCGCCGCCGCCGCCGCCCAGGCGCAGGUUCAGGGAGCAAGUUUCCGAGGUUGGAAAGAAGUGACUUCACUGUUUAACAAAGAUGAUGAGCAGCAUCUCCUGGAAAGAUGUAAAUCUCCCAAGUCCAAAGGGUCGAUGUAUGUACUUGGCCACAAGGAGAGCUAGCUUCCUUCUGAUGUGUCGUGGCUUUCUAUAAUCCUACUGCACACAAAGCACAGUGACCAUCUAUUUUUGGCUAGACUGAGCUAAUUCCAUGAGUUUGGUUCUCAAAAUCACCUGACCUCUGUGGAGAGUGGAGCGUAGGGAGAGGUGACUGGGGCACCCGUGCCUUGACACCCCACUUUCUUCUCCUGCUCCCCUAUAAUGUCCUCGCUAUGGAAGCACCUUCCUGGGACUUCAGAAUGGAAACUGCUGCAGGGCCCUUCUCAUGCAUCCCAGUGGGCAGCACGAGCAUGGACCGCCAGUGAUGCACUCCAAGCCACUUCACCUCAAGCAUCCUAUGCAUCUGCCAGACACGAGUGGGGCCUCAACACUGCUUGACAGUUUGUGAAGUGCUCUAACAUUCUGGACAUGAAGCUUUCAUGGACUGCACUAGUGUGCUGUCCUGCCCUGUCUGUACACACGUUUUUUGCUCCUACAGCUGAUGGGACCCACGCAUAGGGCAGAUGUCAGCCCUGUUGUAGGCUAUGGAGCUGCACAGUCCAAGAGACAUCACUUCCCCAGCAGCCAGCAUGGUCCCCGCAGGCUCUCAGUAAACGUCUUUGCUCAUU